rnacentral:rRNA from 1 species
UACGGAGGAUGCAAGCGUUAUCCGGAAUGAUUGGGCGUAAAGCGUCCGCAGGUGGCUGUGUAAGUCUGCUGUUAAAGAGUGAGGCUCAACCUCAUAAGAGCAGUGGAAACUACACAGCUAGAGUGCGUUCGGGGCAGAGGGAAUUCCUGGUGUAGCGGUGAAAUGCGUAGAGAUCGGAAAGAACACCAACGGCGAAAGCACUCUGCUGGGCCGACACUGACACUGAGAGACGAAAGCUAGGGGAGCGAAUGGG